AAAAGCAAAACAGGAAUUUGCUACCUUCCAGCAACUAUUCACGUAGUAUUUACAUUGUACUUACAAUUAUUUACCUAGCAUUUACAUUGUAUUAGGUAUUAUAAAUAAUCUAGAGAUGAUUUAAAUUAUAUGAGAGAAC